rnacentral:lncRNA from 1 species
AAAUUAGCUCAGCCGUCCUUUCCUAGGCCGGAUUGAAAAAAGGGGUAAUUGGGGGAUUCCCAUUCCACUCGGGAAUCGGAAUCAGAAUGGGACUCCCGCGUACCAAACACCCACAAACGAAUUCACCCAUUCCGAUUCCGAUUCCAGAGUAAUAAAAAAACGAACCAAACACGCCCUAAGAGAAAAGAGAAUGAAAAGAAGGGCGGGAGGGGGGGUGAAGAAGCGCGAGAGGAGAAAUGCCGUUGGAGGAAAUUUCGAAAAGAGGGCUUUGAUGAUGAAAAGACGGCGGCAAUAAAUG